CCUAGUAACGGCGAGUGAAGCGGGAACAGCUCAAAUUUGAAAUCUGGCCUUCGGGUCCGAAUUGUAAUUUGCAGAGGAUGCUUUUGGUUAGGUACUUUCCGAGUUCCCUGGAACGGGACGCCUUAGAGGGUGAGAGCCCCGUACGGUUGGAUACCGAGCCUUUGUAAAGCUCCUUCGACGAGUCGAGUAGUUUGGGAAUGCUGCUCUAAAUGGGAGGUAAAUUUCUUCUAAAGCUAAAUACCGGCCAGAGACCGAUAGCGCACAAGUAGAGUGAUCGAAAGAUGAAAAGCACUUUGAAAAGAGGGUUAAAUAGCACGUGAAAUUGUUGAAAGGGAAGCGUUUAUGACCAGACUUUUUCCAGGCGGAUCAUCCGGUGUUCUCACCGGUGCACUUCGUCUGGUGGAGGCCAGCAUCGGUUUUCGUAGAGGGAUAAAAGCUUUAGGAAUGUGAUUCCCCCGGGAAUGUUAUAGCCUAUUGUAUAAUACCUUUAUGGGGACCGAGGUUCGCGCAUCUGCAAGGAUGCUGGCGUAAUGGUCAUCAACGACCCGUCUUGAAACACGGACCAAGGAGUCGAACAUUUGUGCGAGUGUUUGGGUGUUAAACCCUCACGCGUAAUGAAAGUGAACGGAGGUGAGAGCCCUUACGGGUGCAUCAUCGACCGAUCCUGAUGUUUUCGGAUGGAUUUGAGUAAGAGCAUAACUGUUCGGACCCGAAAGAUGGUGAACUAUGCGUGGAUAGGGUGAAGCCAGAGGAAACUCUGGUGGAGGCUCGCAGCGGUUCUGACG
rnacentral:rRNA from 1 species